GGAGUGUGUUGACGUCCUCAUCAACCAGGAAGCCUCCAUCCUGGUUAAAGACUUCACUCUGAAGAGGACCCCCAUCCACGCUGCAGCAACCAACGGACAUUCGGAGUGUUUGCGUUUGCUGAUUGGAAAUGCUGACAUCCAGAAACCCCUCUGAUGCUGUCGGUGCUGAGCGGACACAGACUGUGUGUACUCCCUGUUCAACAAGGGAGCAAGCGUAGAAGCCAAAGACAAAUGGCACAGAACAGCUCUACACAGAAGGGUUGUGAGGAGAGUUGGCUGCGGUGACUUUUCACGAGGAGUGCAGCACAGUGCCAGCUUCCUGGUUCGGGAAGGUAAGGGGCGGAGCCAUGUCCACCUGGUGGCGGCGUCCGGACACAUCGGGAUACUGGGGUGGCUCCUACACACCGCCCAGUCAGUGUGGACCCUCCCCGUCAUCACAGACAACCAGGGCUACACGCCACUACACUUGGCCUGCUACAACGGUAUGUACUGGACAGAGGGACAGCGAAGUGGGCCAGAGGCCACAAACAAAUACACACAUAAACAUAGCGUGUCUUAAAUCACCACAGCCAGCUUCAGGAGGGCACGAACCGAGACAGUCCGCACAGGAACCUUAAGAGUCCCUCAGACAGAGAGAGAGAAGAGGGAGGGAUAGGGGGAGGCACAACAGGCCCACACUCAUCCUCUCAUACCACCAGGUUCCCUUCCAGCAGAUACUGCACUUCAGAGGAACUGCUGCUGCUAUACCCCAUCUUUACCUUUACCCACAAAGGUCCUAAACGGUAGAAAGUGUCCGGCCAACAGACAGACGCACACCUUAUGACGGCAAUAACCUGUAGUCCAAGGGGAUAGUAGCACUUCACUGAGAGCAAAACAGACAGGGACCAAAAGAUGUGGAAGAAGCAUUUUCAAAACCUGUUUUGACUGUAGAAAUUGGGCUGAGUGUUUGUGCUGAGAAAAGACAUAAGGAGUGAUGUUUCAUUUAAGUUUCAUGAGAGUGAUUGUCAUGUUUAUCCGCACACUAAGACAGUCAGAACGCACCUAGCCUCUUGUCUGUAAUCCAUGUGGGAGGAGGGGAAAUCAUACAUUCUGUAUGAACAAAUAUU